rnacentral:tRNA from 1 species
GCAGGUAUAGCUCAGUGGUAGAACAUAUGCUUAACUUGCAUGAGGUCCUGUGUUUAAUCCCCAGUACCUCCA